rnacentral:rRNA from 1 species
GGGUUGUGAGGUUAAGCGACUAAGCGUACACGGUGGAUGCCCUGGCAGUCAGAGGCGAUGAAGGACGUGCUAAUCUGCGAAAAGCGUCGGUAAGGUGAUAUGAACCGUUAUAACCGGCGAUGUCCGAAUGGGGAAACCCAGUGCAAUUCGUUGCACUAUCGUUAACUGAAUACAUAGGUUAACGAGGCGAACCGGGGGAACUGAAACAUCUAAGUACCCCGAGGAAAAGAAAUCAACCGAGAUUCCCCCAGUAGCGGCGAGCGAACGGGGAGCAGCCCAGAGUCUGAAUCAGCUUGUGUGUUAGUGGAACGGUCUGGAAAGUCCGACGGUACAGGGUGAUAGUCCCGUACACCAAAAUGCACAGGCUGUGAACUCGAAGAGUAGGGCGGGACACGUGGUAUCCUGUCUGAAUAUGGGGGGACCAUCCUCCAAGGCUAAAUACUCCUGACUGACCGAUAGUGAACCAGUACCGUGAGGGAAAGGCGAAAAGAACCCCGGCGAGGGGAGUGAAAAAGAACCUGAAACCGUGUACGUACAAGCAGUGGGAGCACCUUCGGGUGUGACUGCGUACCUUUUGUAUAAUGGGUCAGCGACUUAUAUUCUGUAGCAAGGUUAACCGUAUAGGGGAGCCGCAGGGAAACCGAGUCUUAACUGGGCGUUAAGUUGCAGGGUAUAGACCCGAAACCCGGUGAUCUAGCCAUGGGCAGGUUGAAGGUUGGGUAACACUAACUGGAGGACCGAACCGACUAAUGUUGAAAAAUUAGCGGAUGACUUGUGGCUGGGGGUGAAAGGCCAAUCAAACCGGGAGAUAGCUGGUUCUCCCCGAAAGCUAUUUAGGUAGCGCCUCGUGAAUUCAUCUUCGGGGGUAGAGCACUGUUUCGGCUAGGGGGUCAUCCCGACUUACCAACCCGAUGCAAACUACGAAUACCGAAGAAUGUUAUCACGGGAGACACACGGCGGGUGCUAACGUCCGUCGUGAAGAGGGAAACAACCCAGACCGCCAGCUAAGGUCCCAAAGUCAUGGUUAAGUGGGAAACGAUGUGGGAAGGCACAGACAGCCAGGAUGUUGGCUUAGAAGCAGCCAUCAUUUAAAGAAAGCGUAAUAGCUCACUGGUCGAGUCGGCCUGCGCGGAAGAUGUAACGGGGCUAAACCAUGCACCGAAGCUGCGGCAGCGACACUAUGUGUUGUUGGGUAGGGGAGCGUUCUGUAAGCCUGCGAAGGUGACCUGUGAGGGUUGCUGGAGGUAUCAGAAGUGCGAAUGCUGACAUAAGUAACGAUAAAGCGGGUGAAAAGCCCGCUCGCCGGAAGACCAAGGGUUCCUGUCCAACGUUAAUCGGGGCAGGGUGAGUCGACCCCUAAGGCGAGGCCGAAAGGCGUAGUCGAUGGGAAACAGGUUAAUAUUCCUGUACUUGGUGUUACUGCGAAGGGGGACGGAGAAGGCUAUGUUAGCCGGGCGACGGUUGUCCCGGUUUAAGCAUGUAGGCUGGUUAUCCAGGCAAAUCCGGAUAAUCAAGGCUGAGGUGUGAUGACGAGGCACUACGGUGCUGAAGUAACAAAUGCCCUGCUUCCAGGAAAAGCCUCUAAGCAUCAGGUAACAUCAAAUCGUACCCCAAACCGACACAGGUGGUCAGGUAGAGAAUACCAAGGCGCUUGAGAGAACUCGGGUGAAGGAACUAGGCAAAAUGGUGCCGUAACUUCGGGAGAAGGCACGCUGGUGUGUAGGUGAAGUCCCUGCGGAUGGAGCUGAGACCAGUCGAAGAUACCAGCUGGCUGCAACUGUUUAUUAAAAACACAGCACUGUGCAAACACGAAAGUGGACGUAUACGGUGUGACGCCUGCCCGGUGCCGGAAGGUUAAUUGAUGGGGUUAUCCGUAAGGAGAAGCUCUUGAUCGAAGCCCCGGUAAACGGCGGCCGUAACUAUAACGGUCCUAAGGUAGCGAAAUUCCUUGUCGGGUAAGUUCCGACCUGCACGAAUGGCGUAAUGAUGGCCAGGCUGUCUCCACCCGAGACUCAGUGAAAUUGAACUCGCUGUGAAGAUGCAGUGUACCCGCGGCAAGACGGAAAGACCCCGUGAACCUUUACUAUAGCUUGACACUGAACAUUGAGCCUUGAUGUGUAGGAUAGGUGGGAGGCUUUGAAGCGUGGACGCCAGUCUGCGUGGAGCCAACCUUGAAAUACCACCCUUUAAUGUUUGAUGUUCUAACGUUGGCCCCUUACCGGGGUUGCGGACAGUGUCUGGUGGGUAGUUUGACUGGGGCGGUCUCCUCCCAAAGCGUAACGGAGGAGCACGAAGGUUAGCUAAUCCUGGUCGGACAUCAGGAGGUUAGUGCAAUGGCAUAAGCUAGCUUGACUGCGAGCGUGACGGCGCGAGCAGGUGCGAAAGCAGGUCAUAGUGAUCCGGUGGUUCUGAAUGGAAGGGCCAUCGCUCAACGGAUAAAAGGUACUCCGGGGAUAACAGGCUGAUACCGCCCAAGAGUUCAUAUCGACGGCGGUGUUUGGCACCUCGAUGUCGGCUCAUCACAUCCUGGGGCUGAAGUAGGUCCCAAGGGUAUGGCUGUUCGCCAUUUAAAGUGGUACGCGAGCUGGGUUUAGAACGUCGUGAGACAGUUCGGUCCCUAUCUGCCGUGGGCGCUGGAGAAUUGAGGGGGCUGCUCCUAGUACGAGAGGACCGGAGUGGACGCAUCACUGGUGUUCGGGUUGUCAUGCCAAUGGCACUGCCCGGUAGCUAAAUGCGGAAGAGAUAAGUGCUGAAAGCAUCUAAGCACGAAACUUGCCCCGAGAUGAGUUCUCCCUGAGACUUUAAGUCUCCUGAAGGAACGUUGAAGACGACGACGUUGAUAGGCCGGGUGUGUAAGCGCAGCGAUGCGUUGAGCUAACCGGUACUAAUGAACCGUGAGGCUUAACCUUACAACGCCGAAG